GAAAUGCGAUAAGUAGUGUGAAUUGCAGAAUUCAGUGAAUCAUCGAAUCUUUGAACGCACAUUGCGCCCCUUGGUAUUCCAUGGGGCAUGCCUGUUCGAGCGUCAUUUGUACCCUCAAGCUCUGCUUGGUGUUGGGUGUUUGUCCCGUCUCCGCGCGUGGACUCGCCCCAAAGUGAUUGGCAGCCGGCGUACUGGUCCCGGAGCGCAGCACAUGUCGCGCAAACGAGUGCCUUGGUACGGCGGCGUCCAUAAGCCCAUCUCUCACGCUCUUGACCUCGGAUCAGGUAGGGAUACCCGCUGAACUUAAGC
rnacentral:misc_RNA from 1 species